rnacentral:rRNA from 1 species
AUUGAACGCUGGCGGCAUGCCUUACACAUGCAAGUCGAACGGCAGCACGGGAGCUUGCUCCUGGUGGCGAGUGGCGAACGGGUGAGUAAUACAUCGGAACGUACCCUGAAGUGGGGGAUAACGUAGCGAAAGUUACGCUAAUACCGCAUAUUCUGUGAGCAGGAAAGAGGGGGAUCGCAAGACCUCUUGCUUUAGGAACGGCCGAUGUCGGAUUAGCUAGUUGGUGAGGUAAAGGCUCACCAAGGCGACGAUCCGUAGCGGGUCUGAGAGGAUGAUCCGCCACACUGGGACUGAGACACGGCCCAGACUCCUACGGAGGCAGCAGUGGGGAAUUUUGGACAAUGGGCGCAAGCCUGAUCCAGCCAUGCCGCGUGAGUGAAGAAGGCCU